rnacentral:rRNA from 1 species
GAUGAACGCUGGCGGCGUGCCUAAUACAUGCAAGUCGAGCGAACGGACGAGAAGCUUGCUUUUCUGAUGUUAGCGGCGGACGGGUGAGUAACACGUGGAUAACCUACCUAUAAGACUGGGAUAACUUCGGGAAACCGGAGCUAAUACCGGAUAAUAUUUUGAACCGCAUGGUUCAAAAGUGAAAGACGGUCUUGCUGUCACUUAUAGAUGGAUCCGCGCUGCAUUAGCUAGUUGGUAAGGUAACGGCUUACCAAGGCAACGAUGCGUAGCCGACCUGAGAGGGUGAUCGGCCACACUGGAACUGAGACACGGUCCAGACUCCUACGGGAGGCAGCAGUAGGGAAUCUUCCGCAAUAGGCGAAAGCCUGACGGAGCAACGCCGCGUGAGUGAUGAAGGUCUUCGGAUCGUAAAACUCUGUUAUUAGGGAAGAACAUAUGUGUAAGUAACUGUGCACAUCUUGACGGUACCUAAUCAGAAAGCCACGGCUAACUACGUG